ACCCAGCUGACGAGUCCCAAAUAGGACGAAAUGCGUGUCCUAGAU
rnacentral:hammerhead_ribozyme from 1 species